rnacentral:rRNA from 1 species
GUAGGGUGCAAGCGUUAAUCGGAAUUACUGGGCGUAAAGCGUGCGCAGGCGGGUUUGUAAGACAGUGGGUGAAAUCCCCGGGGCUCAACCUGGGAACUGCCAUUGUGACUGCAAGGCUCGGGGUGCGGCAGAGGGGGGAUGGAAUUCCGCGUGUAGCAGUGAAAUGCGUAGAUAUGCGGAGGAACACCGAUGGCGAAGGCAAAACCCCUGGGCCUGCACUGACGCUCAUGCACGAAAGCGUGGGGAGCAAACAGGAUUAGAUACCCUGGUAGUCCACGCCCUAAACGAUGUCAACUGGUUGUUGGGAAUUUAUUUUCUCAGUAACGGAGCUAACGCGUGAAGUUGACCGCCUGGGGAGUACGGCCGCAAGGUUA